UAAUACUGAUCUUGUGCAGGUGAAAUCACGUCUUGACUACUGCGACCCCGGAUCUCUUGGUUCUGGCAUCGAUGAAGAACGCAGCGAAAUGCGAUAAGUAAUGUGAAUUGCAGAAUUCAGUGAAUCAUCGAAUCUUUGAACGCACAUUGCGCCCUUUGGUAUUCCGAAGGGCAUGCCUGUUCGAGCGUCAUUUCACCACUCAAGCCUGGCUUGGUAUUGGGCGUCGCGGUGUUUCGCGCGCCUUAAAGUCUUCCGGCUGAGCUGUCCGUCUCCUAGCGUUGUGGAUUCUUCAUUUCUCUUCGGAGUGCGGGGGGCCGCGGCCGUUAAAUCUUUAUUGAAAGGUUGACCUCGGAUCAGGUAGGGAUACCCGCUGAACUUAAGCAUAUCAAUAAGCGGAGGAAAAAAAACCAACAGGGAUUGCCCUACUAACGGCGAGUGAAGCGGCCACAGCUCAAAUUUGAAAUCUGGCGCAAGCCCGAGUUGUAUUUUGUAGAGGAUGCUUCUAGGUAGGGGCCGGUCUAAGUCUCUUGGAACAGGACGUCAUAGAGGGUGAGAAUCCCGAAUGCGACUGGUUUGCACCCUCCACGCUACUCCUUCCACCA
rnacentral:rRNA from 1 species